rnacentral:tRNA from 1 species
GGUCUGGUAGCUCAGUUGGUUAGAGCGCUGCCCUGUCACGGCAGAGGUCGAGAGUUCAAAUCUCUUCCAGAUCGCCA